CCAGAGAACUUAGCAGAGAUGCUUUGGUGCCUUCGGGAACUCUGAGACAGGUGCUGCAUGGCUGUCGUCAGCUCGUGUUGUGAAAUGUUGGGUUAAGUCCCGCAACGAGCGCAACCCUUAUCCUUUGUUGCCAGCGGCUCGGCCGGGAACUCAAAGGAGACUGCCGGUGAUAAACCGGAGGAAGGUGGGGAUGACGUCAAGUCAUCAUGGCCCUUACGGCCAGGGCUACACACGUGCUACAAUGGCGCAUACAAAGAGAAGCGACCUCGCGAGAGCAAGCGGACCUCAUAAAAGUGCGUCGUAGUCCGGAUUGGAGUCUGCAACUCGACUCCAUGAAGUCGGAAUCGCUAGUAAUCGUAGAUCAGAAUGCUACGGUGAAUACGUUCCCGGGCCUUGUACACACCGCCCGUCACACCAUGGGAGUGGGUUGCAAAAGAAGUAGGUAGCUUAACCUUCGGGAGGGCGCUUACCACUUUGUGAUUCAUGACUGGGGUGAAGUCGUAACAAGGUAGGCGUAGCGAG
rnacentral:rRNA from 1 species